GGUGACUCAGUGGUAGAGUGCUUGCCUUGCAUGCAUGAGGCCUUGGGUUCGAUUCCUCAGCACUA
rnacentral:tRNA from 1 species